CAGAAGGAGGGGGGGAGGGAGAAUUUUCGGGGGCGAAGGAACGAAGGACGAAGAAGUCGAAGUUAAGGGGCGGGCGAGGCAGGUGGUGGUGGUGGCGGGUUCUCUCUCUCCGUAGGUCAGGGACGGCACGGUUGAGCGUCGGCGUAGCGGUAGGUCUAAGAUCUGGGCGUCGUUCGCAGCCUAGUUUGGAGGGAGAUCAUAAAGUUCUCCCGAGAGGAGCGGCCGCCGCGUCAAGUUUCUGUGUGUGUGUGUGUGUGUGUGUGUGUCUCUCUCUCUCUCUCUCUCUCUCUCUCUCUCUCUCUCUCUCUCUCUCUCUCUCUCUGCGGUCUAUCUGUCUAUCUACAACCCGCCGCCGUUUUACUUCCCCCUGCGCCAAUCGCCGCCGUCGUCGUCGUAAUCGGGGUACCACAGGAAGCACGACCCGCGGCGGCGCCGGUGGCAGACGCAGGAGAAGAAGUACAGGCGGUCGGGGCCGGCGUCGGAGCAGCUGUAGCGGCGUACCUCGGUGUUGUUGCCGUGGCGGUGGGUCGUGGUGGUGGACGCGAGGCAGCGGCUGCGGCGGGUGUUGCGGUGGCGGCAGCGGCAGCGCCGAGGCCGUGGGCGGGGGCAGGUCCGCAGCGGCAUGCCCCUGGACCUCCUCCACGACCGCGCCCGCCGCUGCCGCCUGGCCUGCCACUAGUACUGCGUCUAGUUGCGCCGCACCUGGUUCGGCCCCAGCGACGACCUGGAGAAGAAGCUCUCGAAGGCGUGGCCCCUCCCGCCGCACCGCGCGGACGAGCUGGUGGAGCAGUAGCAGUGGUACCUGGGCCGGCGCAUGCGCCCCACGGUCGAGCACGUGGGCGUGACGAUAAAAGACUCCUGCUGGCCGCAGCUGAUGGCGCCGCUCUUCAAGAAGUACUCGUUCCUGAUGGAGCUCUACUACACCCCGGCGUUGUUCAAGGUCGUCUGGUAGGAGGUCGAGCCUAUGUUGAAGGAGAAGUGCCUGCACCUGCACUACACCAAGGCACUGGGCAAGUUCGUGUAGAGGUACCCCCGCCUGUAGCGGUAGAGGUCGCUGCAGAAGUACCCGCUGGGGAUGUCGGAGCCGUUGAAGGGGUUGCCGCCGAAGGAGAAGCACGCGAGGACGUUGUUCUGGUAGCUCAAGAUGGCGGUGACCGUCCGCCCCGCGAUGGCGAAGAAGCCGUUCGUGCUCGUCCUGCACAAGUUGGAGUAGUUCGUGCUGUACUGCCUGGCGGAGCCGCAGCGGUAGGUCAAGGAGCUGUGGUGGAUGUAGUCGCCGAAGACAGUCGAGUCGUCCCUGGAGUUGUUCUAGACGUGGGACGUGCGGUUGACGACGCAGCCCGAGCCCCGGUUCGAGGUACUAAACUCCUUACACGACCUGCACACCUCCUUGAUGUGCCGCCGCGGCCACGGCCUGUUCUCCCGGCCGUUCAAGGUCACCUUCCAUGGGCCCUAUACGUAGGUGACUAGGUUGAGUACCUACUCAAGCACGUAAACCAACGGGUAAGAAAGACGAGAAGAACGAACGGACGAAGAAGAGCACCUUUCUCUACCUCCCCUAACUCUCCCCGUCGUAGCUAGCUAACUAAGUAAAACACUUUAGUAAAGUCGAUCUACUAAUAAUCAUUCAAUAAUAUGAUAUAUACAUGUGUUUGUAUAUGUGUCUCAUCAUCAUGAGGUCAUACGCACGUCGUGUACGUACGUACAUACGACCAGGACCGGCUGAGGAGGACCGGACAUUAAUUUCUACUUACUCAUUUCGUCAUCGAACAAAUACGUCGUGUUCACAACAAAAGAACUAAAAAAA
rnacentral:rRNA from 1 species